UACGUAGGGGGCAAGCGUUGUCCGGAUUCAUUGGGCGUAAAGAGCGUGUAGGCGGCCAGGUAGGUCGGUUGUGAAAACUGGAGGCUCAACCUUCAGAGGUCGACCGAAACCAUCUGGCUAGAGUCCGGGAGAGGAGAGUGGAAUUCCUGGUGGUAGCGGUGAAAUGCGCAGAUAUCAGGAGGAACACCAAUUGCGAAGGCAGCUCGCUGGAACGUAACUGACGCUGAGACGCG
rnacentral:rRNA from 1 species